rnacentral:lncRNA from 1 species
CCCGGUCGCCCCUGGAAACCGACUCAGCUGCGGCGCUGACGGUCAGGUGCACUUCUGAGAGUAGGAUUUUGCAAUAAAAGAAGUAGCCGUAAGGAAGCUUCUGAAGUUAUCAAUAUAGAGAACACCUCUGCAAGAAGCAACAAUGCCUGUAGAAGGAGGAAAAUCUGAUAUGGAAAGAAUUGGCCUCUUCAGUGAGA